UGGCGUCGUGUCGUGAUCUGGAGCGAGGCGGGGGUGUGAGGAUGAGUGGAGGAUGAUGCCGUGCCGUGGUGGUGGGUCGUGCCGGCAGGUGGAGCGGCUUCGUCUCAUCGGUACCGACGCGGGGGUCGCUAGGGCGCGGCGCCGGAGAAGUAGCCGCCGCCCACCGCGCUCGGGUGGGACCCGGCGGCGUAGGGGCAGUAGUUGGGCCGGUGGCUCCUGUGGUAGCCACUGUAGGGCCGUCGGUGGCGCCUCCUGCAGCUCGAGCGGCAGCGCCGCCGAGCUAGACGCAAGAACGAGCUACCGCCCUCGGCGACCCGCGCGCGAAGGCCCCGCUGCGCCCGGUUCAUAGACUUGCGCUAGCGGCGAUUCUAAUUUCUUUUCUAUAGCAUAGACCGUAACGACCUCUGUCAACUAAGACCUUUCGGGUUCCUGCUUCGUCAACGCCUGUACCUGCUACAACGACGUACGAAACUCAAGAUACGACCAGACCGACUUCGGAAUCUACCAUUUGUUGUACGCGGUUAGAGAGACGGGUACCUUCUUAAGUUCUGGAUACAAGAAUUUCUUGGGUAGCCCCAACAACCUGAGUAGUGAGGGACCUUGAUAGGAGACAACUACCGAUGAACCUUCCAACGUGGACGGGACCGACGACCCACAUGUCGACACAAUUUUGGUAGACUCGACCGAAGAGAUUGAACGAAUCUCGAGCCACGUUAUACACUUCUCUAUCCUGACGGAAGUCCUCAAGACUUGUAUUAAUGACCAGACCCGGGACUGCGACCACGAGGUUAUCGAAGUGUAGGGGUACACCUAUUCUAACGAAAAUGUCCUUCAUGGCGUUGACCAUUCUGCUAUUACUGGCGACGACGGGUUUACCAAUUCGGACAAAGUAAUCUCGAACCACCGUUUUCAGGAGAACAAUAGAAACUACUACAACGACUGUAACUGUUUCGACAACUUACCCGGUACAAACCAACAAAAAAGUUAUCACCAGUUCAAACGUCACGUUGUAGAGCAGAUGAAGAGGUACUCUUUUAACGUCUCACUAAAAAUCUAUCUGAUCAACUUACCCGUUUCUUGUAUUUUUAGAGUCUGGGUGACCUUCUUCCAACAUCCGACCCAAGUCAGUAGUCGUUUCCCGUCAUACUUUUCUAAUUCUUCAAGUAGAGGUGUCGUUCUUCACUUCCACGAUGUUAAAACGUACCACCACUGGCUGGUUUCGUAGAGCCUUUUCCCAAGAAAUAACUUGGAUGUUAAUAUUGUCUACAAUCGUGUAGUUACGUUUAAACCUCUCUCCUUCAGAAACCUGGUCAGUAGACACAGUUUCAUAAGUUCUGUCUCUCGCUUCGACAUCUCGAACGUUUACUAUGGGUGAUACCGAACCGACCACCACACUAGAGACUACUAGAUCUCUCCACACUCGCGUAACGUUUCCAAUAAGUGAGUCCGUAACAAACCUAUUUGACGAGCGUUGGCUGGGAACAAGUUCGAGGCACCCCUCCCUUGUUCGCCUCACCAAAACCGGCCCUCGAUCCUCUUACCCCGGAGCUCUUGAUGAACUCGCACUUCGUUCAGUGGUCCAUGACGUUUCUACUCGAUAUGCCUACCAUGGUCGCGGGUAGGUUCGACAUCUACUGAACUCUACAGUACUCUUAUCUCGGAGCAAGUAACUUUUCCGCUCAAGAUAGGACCGACCCUGAAGACAUGUCACGAAAGCGUUAUUCGGUAGUACACCGUUUGAACCAAUACUAUCGCACAGUAGCUCGGACACUGUCUACGCCAACCAGUUUUUGAACGAUUUCAUUUUUUGCUGUAAUGCAAGAAGACGAAAGCAACAUAGACAAAUACAAGAAAAUAACGUUAAACAACAACCAUCGAAUGGUUCGACCGACGAACCAAUAUGAGGGAGGCAGAGUUUUAAGAACAGAAUCUAAUCAGAUUUGUGCCUACAUAGAUCAUGAUUUC
rnacentral:rRNA from 1 species